rnacentral:rRNA from 1 species
AACGAACGCUGGCGGCAUGCCUAACACAUGCAAGUCGAACGUGAUCCUGGGUUUCGGCCUGGGUGAAAGUGGCAGACGGGUGAGUAACGCGUGGGAACCUGCCCUGUGGUAGGGAAUAACUGCGGGAAACUGCGGCUAAUACCCUAUGUGCCCUGAGGGGCAAAGAUUUAUCGCCAUGGGAGGGGCCCGCGUCGGAUUAGGUAGUUGGUGGGGUAACGGCCCACCAAGCCUUCGAUCCGUAGCUGGUCUGAGAGGAUGAUCAGCCACACUGGGACUGGGAUACGGCCCGGACUCCUACGGUAGGCAGCAGUGGGGAAUCUUGGACAAUGGGGGCAACCCUGAUGCCGCAAUGCCGCGUGGGUGCUGAAGGCCUUCGGGUUGUAAAGCCCUUUCGGCGGGGAAGAGGAUGACGGUACCCGCAGAAGAAGCCCCGGCUAACUUCGUGCCAGCAGCCGCCGUAAAAC